rnacentral:pre_miRNA from 1 species
CGUCCCAAAAUUCUUGUCUUAGAUUUGUCUAGAUACGGAUGUAUCAAGUCACAUUUUAGUAUUAGAUACAUCCAUAUCUAGACAAAUCUAAGACAAGAAAUUUGGGACAGAGGGAGUAGUUG